AACCAGCAUCUAGAAACACCUCGAAAGAGGUGUGGCAACCGAGCCCACCAGGCCACGGUGCCUCCCGACAACGGGGAUGCGGCGCGACGAGCGCAAAAGAACUGGUGCUCG
ncrna:unclassified sequences SAM-I/IV variant riboswitch